ensembl:snRNA U12 U12 minor spliceosomal RNA
AUGUUUUAAACUCCUGAGUAAGGAAAAUUAUGAUUGAGGGUGACACUGAAUCCUCACAACUAACGUGAGGUGAGUUUUUGUGUGGGUGAAGGCUGCCCCUGAGGGGACCUGCCGACUCCGCAGGGCGCCUGGGUGAAGGCUGCCCC